rnacentral:rRNA from 1 species
CCUACGGGUGGCAGCAGUCGAGAAUCAUUCACAAUGGGGGAAACCCUGAUGGUGCGACGCCGCGUGGGGGAAUGAAGGUCUUCGGAUUGUAAACCCCUGUCAUGUGGGAGCAAAUUAAAAAGAUAGUACCACAAGAGGAAGAGACGGCUAACUCGGUGCCAGCAGCCGCGGUAAUACAGAGGUCUCAAGCGUUGUUCGGAAUCACGGGGCGUAAAGCGUGCGUAGGCUGUUUCGUAAGUCGUGUGUGAAAGGCGCGGGCGCAACCCGCGGACGGCACAUGAUACUGCGAGACUAGAGUAAUGGAGGGGGUACCGGAAUUCUCGGUGUAGGAGUGAAAUGCGUAGAUAUCGAGAGGAACACUCGUGGCGAAGGCGAGUACCUGGACAUUAACUGACGCUGAGGAACGAAGGCCAGGGGAGCGAAAGGGAUUAGAUACCCGUGUAGUC